ACGAACGGCUGGCGGCGUGCCGUAAUACAUGCAAGUCGAACGGCUUUUCUAUGGAAGCUUGCUUCCACUGAGAAGAUAGUGGCGAACGGGUGAGUAACACGUGGGUAACCUGCCCAUAAGAGGGGGGAUAACAUCCGGAAACGGGUGCUAAUACCGCAUAGUUUUCUUGAUCGCAUGAUUGAGAAAGGAAAGACGGCCUUUGUGCUGUCGCUUAUGGAUGGACCCGCGGCGUAUUAGUUAGUUGGUGAGGUAACGGCUCACCAAGACGAUGAUACGUAGCCGACCUGAGAGGGUGAUCGGCCACAUUGGGACUGAGACACGGCCCAAACUCCUACGGGAGGCAGCAGUAGGGAAUCUUCCGCAAUGGACGAAAGUCUGACGGAGCAACGCCGCGUGAGUGAAGAAAGGUUUUCGGAUCGUAAAACUCUGUUGUCAGAGAAGAACAAGUUGGAGAGUAACUGCUCCAGCCUUGACGGUAUCUGACCAGAAAGCCACGGCUAACUACGUGCCAGCCGCUGC
rnacentral:rRNA from 1 species